rnacentral:rRNA from 1 species
GCUUAGCCCUAAACCUCAAUAGUUGAAACAACAAAACUACUCACCAGAAUACUACAAGCAACAGCUUAAAACUCAAAGGACUUGGCGGUGCUUCACAUCCCCCUAGAGGAGCCUGUUCUAUAACCCCGAUCCACCCCACCCUCUCUUGCUCAGUCUAUAUACCGCCAUCUUCAGCAAACCCUGAUGAAGGUUACGAAGUGAGCGCAAAUGCCCUCCCCGCAAAAACGUUAGGUCAAGGUGUAACCUAUGAGAUGGUAAAAAAUGGGCUACAUUUUCUACCUCAGAAAACCCCACGAUAACUCUUAUGAAACCUAAGAGUCCAAGGAGGAUUUAGCAGUAAAUUAAGAAUAGAGUGCUUAAUUGAACUAGGCCAUAAAGCACGC